ACACCGUUUAGGAGUAACAGGGAAAAAUUCGAAAUCGCAUCAGACAUAAAAAAAAACUACGUAUACACAUACAAUACGUUUUAAGUGCUCUUAUAAUAACACUAUACCGUAAAGUACGUAAAGUCAGUGACGCUUCUGUUUAAGGACACACAUAUAUACAAUAUAUGUAUAAUAGUAUAGCCAUUGGCGCAUGUUUUAUCGGAGCUGGUUUCGACUUAUGCGAUGACGAUGGUUACGACGGUAAUGGUAUAAUAAUAACAGAUAAUAUUAUUGUAUUAUCGUACGCGCUGUCCAAAAAUGUGAACGUCGAAAACCGAAUGCGGUCGGAGCGAAUGACGCAUGUGUACGAUACUAUAAUAAUAUGAUUGCUGGAAAAUGUUUCGUGCACAGCUCACUGCUUUUAAAUAAUAAUAUAAUGUAACGUUCGUUGUAGGUGGUGUACUUCUGACGAGAAAAAUAAAUACAAAUGCUAGUCAAGGACAAUGGUAAUAUUUUGUGCCACUUGUACAGAGAAAACUUUUAUGCACCAAAAAUUGUACAAUGAAGCUUGAUGAACUUUUCAGCGAAAAUUACAUACACUCAUCAUGCGGCCAUGCGUAUCACAUGAAAAGUUUUCGUUUGGGUAGCUUUGGGAUGUGAACAAAAUCAAUUUUUGAGUAUGUCUUAUAAUUAUUAUUGAUUUUUAUUGUCUGCGGCAGAACUUGUGCAAAAGUUGCAAACUUCAUGAAGCGAUUAAUAUUUAGAUAUUAUACAGAUAUGAAAUAGAUAUAUUGUCGGUCG